GACAGUGCUGAGCUAACAGAGUCUUCUUCCACCGUCUGCUCUGUUUACCUGCCAUUGUUCGCUGCUCCUGUGCGGAGAUGAAGAGAAAGGAAUGAUUUAUGUCUGUAGUGACACCAACAAGUGUUUUGGCUGCAGUGGCGCCAAUGUGCUCCUUUAUCCUGGGCGAUCAGCUGAAGCCCAGAGGCCCCGACUCCACAGGUAUCCUGCAAGUCAAAACCAGCGGAGCAGUUUCCAACAUUAAUGUGACAGAAAAUAUUUCUAUGGAGUGAAACUAAAAUGAGGAAACGGUACAAAGUGAAUAUACUCCACUGGAACACUCCAUUCACCAUGUUCAUCUGCACUCCCUUGAAGAUGGAGGUCCUGAUGCACCCCUCCCUCCACCUCUCCUCCCUCCUCCAGCACCUCCAGUGUGC